AUUGAACGCUGGCGGCAGGCCUAACACAUGCAAGUCGAACGGUAGCACAGAGAGCUUGCUCUCGGGUGACGAGUGGCGGACGGGUGAGUAAUGUCUGGGAAACUGCCUGAUGGAGGGGGAUAACUACUGGAAACGGUAGCUAAUACCGCAUAACGUCGCAAGACCAAAGAGGGGGACCUUCGGGCCUCUUGCCAUCAGAUGUGCCCAGAUGGGAUUAGCUAGUAGGUGGGGUAACGGCUCACCUAGGCGACGAUCCCUAGCUGGUCUGAGAGGAUGACCAGCCACACUGGAACUGAGACACGGUCCAGACUCCUACGGGAGGCAGCAGUGGGGAAUAUUGCACAAUGGGCGCAAGCCUGAUGCAGCCAUGCCGCGUGUAUGAAGAAGGCCUUCGGGUUGUAAAGUACUUUCAGCGGGGAGGAAGGUGUUGUGGUUAAUAACCACAGCAAUUGACGUUACCCGCAGAAGAAGCACCGGCUAACUCCGUGCCAGCCGCCGCCGUAAGAC
rnacentral:rRNA from 1 species